GGGGAUAUAGCUCAGCUGGGAGAGUACCAGACUGGCAGUCUGGGUGUCGAGGGUUCGAGUCCCUUUAUCUCCACCA
rnacentral:tRNA from 2 species